rnacentral:rRNA from 1 species
AUGCCACCAGCGACCCCGCCGUCGCCGCCGCCGGCGACGAGGCCGCCGCAGAGGCUGCAGGAGAGGGGGAUGGGAGGCCACCAAGCUCCCCAUCAGGCGCACUGCCCAGGACAACGAGAUCAGGUGAUGCAACAGCAAACUUACCAGACUUACGCCGCCGCCGAGAGAUCCGAAUCCAGCCAUCGACCGACGAGGACGCGGCCACCGACCGGCCCCGGCCACCAGGAGUGA